rnacentral:rRNA from 1 species
UUUUGCAGCCACACCACCCUUGGCUCAUCAGAUCUCAGAAGCUAAGCAGGAUCAGGCUUAGUUAGUGCUUGAAUGGGGGACAUACAAAUUUAGGAUGAACAUAAGAACAGCCAGAC